rnacentral:rRNA from 1 species
GAUAAACGCUGAAAGCAUCUAAGUGUGAAACUCGCCUCGAGAUGAGAUUUCCCAUUUCCUUCGGGAAAGUAAGACCCCUCAGAGAUGAUGAGGUAGAUAGGAUGGAAGUGGAAGUGCCGUGAGGCAUGGAGCGGACCAUUACUAAUCGGUCGAGGACUUAACCAAG